GCCGAUUUCGUAGCUGUAGACUUGGAAAUGACCGGAGUCACCAGUGCUCCUUGGAGAGAAUCAUUCGAUUACGACCGGUAUGAUAUUAGCUACCUGAAAGUUAAGGACUCCGCCGAGAAGUUCGCCGUCGUUCAGUUCGGCGUUUGUCCCUUCCGGUGGGAUCCUCACAAGCAAUCCUUCAUCGCUCAUCCACACAACUUCUACAUAUUCCCACGGCAAGAAAUUCCUGGUAGCAACCAAUCCCGUGAGUUCCUUUGCCAGACAACAUCACUUGAUUUCUUGGCAAAAUACCAGUUUGAUUUCAAUCUGUGCAUACGUGAAGAAGCCAAGAAAAGGAGGCACUGGAACGUAUAA
rnacentral:misc_RNA from 1 species